GUGUCAUAUGAAAGGAGUUAGCACUCCCCUGGACAAAGAUGGAAGAGGUCCUUGAGAAUGACAAUAUGCAUAUGGUUAAGGCAUUGCCACCUACUUUAUGGCAUCUAACCGUUGCUUUCC